CCUACGGGAGGCAGCAGUCGAGAAUUUUUCACGAUGGACGAAAGUCUGAUGGAGCGACGCCGCGUGGAGGAUGAAGGUUUUCGGAUUGUAAACUCCUGUCACUGCAGAACAAGGAUAUGCUCGUUAACAGCGAAUGUAUUUGAUGGUAUGCGGAGAGGAAGGGACGGCUAACUCUGUGCCAGCAGCCGCGGUAAU
rnacentral:rRNA from 1 species